UACGAAGGGGGCUAGCGUUGCUCGGAAUCACUGGGCGUAAAGGGUGCGUAGGCGGGUUUUAAGUCAGGGGUGAAAUCCCGGGGCUCAACCUCGGAACUGCCUUUGAUACAGCACGUCUCGAGUCCGGAAGAGGUGGGUGGAAUUCCUAGUGUAGAGGUGAAAUUCGUAGAUAUUAGGAAGAACACCAGUGGCGAAGGCGGCCCACUGGUCCGGAUACUGACGCUGAGGUGCGGAAAGCGUGGGGAGCAAACAGG
rnacentral:rRNA from 1 species